UAGCCUUUCGAAAGAAAGAUUAAUACCCGAUGGUUAUCGAUGGGGAUGCGUUCCAUUAGGCAGUUGGUGAGGUAACGGCUCACCAAACCUUCGAUGGAUAGGGGUUCUGAGAGGAAGGUCCCCCACAUUGGAACUGAGACACGGUCCAAACUCCUACGGGAGGCAGCAGUGAGGAAUAUUGGUCAAUGGGCGCAGGCCUGAACCAGCCAAGUAGCGUGAAGGAUGACUGCCUAUGGGUUGUAAACUUCUUUUAUAUGGGAAUAUGUACCAUAUGAAUAAGGAUCGGCUAACUCCGUGCCAGCAGCCGCGGUAAUACGGAGGAUCCGAGCGUUAUCCGGAUUUAUUGGGUUUAAAGGGAGCGUAGGUGGACAGUUAAGUCAGUUGUGAAAGUUUGCGGCUCAACCGUAAAAUUGCAGUUGAUACUGGCUGUCUUGAGUACAGUAGAGGUGGGCGGAAUUCGUGGUGUAGCGGUGAAAUGCUUAGAUAUCACGAAGAACUCCGAUUGCGAAGGCAGCUCACUGGACUGCAACUGACACUGAUGCUCGAAAGUGUGGGUAUCAAACAGGAUUAGAUACCCUGGUAGUCCACACAGUAAACGAUGAAUACUCGCUGUUUGCAAGCGGCC
rnacentral:rRNA from 1 species